GGACUACGGCGGCUCCGAGGAGGGGGAAGGGCGAGAAGGGCCGGCCGGUGCCGUCAGUCAGGCAGGGGGAGCCGCCGAGAGCGGAUGGCGGCAGCAGUAGCGGGCCCACUCGCCGCCGGGGGUGAGGAAGCUGCAGCUUCAGUGUCCUUGCCAGGGUCUCCUGGUCUACCUGGGAGCCGUAGCGCAGAACGAGCCCUAGAGGAGGCUGUGGCCACCGGGACCCUGAACUUGUCCAACCGGCGUUUGAAGCACUUCCCCCGGGGCGCGGCCCGCAGUUACGACUUGUCAGACAUCACCCAGGCUGACUUGUCUCGGAACCGGUUUCCCGAGGUGCCUGAGGCAGCUUGCCAGCUGGUGUCCCUGGAAGGCCUGAGCCUCUACCACAAUUGCCUGAAAUGCCUGAACCCAGCCUUGGGGAAUCUUACAGCCCUCACCUACCUCAACCUCAGCCGGAACCAGCUGUCGUCGUUGCCACCCUACAUCUGCCAGCUGCCCCUUCGAGUGCUUAUCAUCAGCAACAACAAGUUAGGAGCCCUGCCUCCAGACAUCAGCACCUUGGGAAGCCUGCGGCAGCUUGAUGUGAGCAGCAAUGAGCUGCAGUCCCUGCCCGUGGAGCUGUGUAGCCUCCGUUCCCUGCGGGAUCUCAAUGUUCGAAGGAACCAGCUCAGUACCCUGCCUGAUGAGCUGGGAGACCUUCCUCUGGUCCGCCUGGAUUUCUCCUGUAACCGCAUCUCCCGAAUCCCCGUCUCCUUCUGCCGCCUCAGGCACCUGCAGGUCGUUCUGCUGGAUAGCAACCCCCUACAGAGUCCACCUGCCCAGAUAUGCCUGAAGGGGAAACUUCACAUCUUCAAGUACCUAACAAUGGAAGCUGGCCGGAGGGGAGCCGCCCUCGGGGACCUGGUCCCUUCCCGCCCCCCAAGUUUUAGUCCUUGCCCUGCCGAAGAUUUAUUUCCGGGACGUCGUUAUGAUGGUGGCCUGGACUCAGGCUUCCACAGCGUUGACAGUGGCAGCAAGAGGUGGUCAGGAAAUGAGUCCACAGAUGAUUUUUCAGAGCUGUCUUUCCGGAUCUCGGAGCUGGCUCGUGAUCCCCGGGGGCCUAGACAACCUAGGGAAGAUGGCGCUGGCGAUGGAGACCUGGAGCAGAUUGACUUUAUUGACAGCCACGUUCCUGGGGAAGAUGAAGAUCGAAGUGCAGCUGAGGAGCAGCUGCCUUCUGAAUUAAGCCUUGUAGCAGGGGAUGUGGAGAAGCCAUCUAGCAGCAGGCGAGAGGAGCCUGCAGGGGAGGAGAGGCGGCGCCCAGACACUUUGCAGUUGUGGCAGGAACGGGAGCGGAAGCAACAGCAACAGAGUGGGGGAUGGGGGUCCCCCAGGAAGGACAGCGUCCUGAAGCGGGGGAUCCGAGCUGCCGGGGCAGGUGCUUCGGCCCCAUCCACACAGGCCACCUGCAAUGGCCCACCAAAGUCCAGCACUACCCAACUGGGAGUUUCAGGGGGGCAGGGAGCUCCCACACCACCCCCCACCUCCCAGGACCCCCUUCCUGUAUCUGGACCAGUGACAGCUCCUGUUCCCAGGCCCCUGGGCUCCAUUCAGAGACCAAACAGCUUCCUCUUCCGGUCCUCUUCUCAGAGUGGCUCUAGUCCUUCCUCUCCAGAGUCUGUUUUGAGACCUCGGCCGUUUCCUCAGGAGAAGGAGCUAAUAUCCCAACUUCGCCAGGUCCUAGAGUCGCGGCUGCAGCAGCCCCUACCUGAGGACCUGGCAGAAGCUCUCGCCAACGGAGUCCUCCUUUGCCAGCUGGCGAACCAGCUGCGGCCCCGCUCUGUACCCUUCAUUCAUGUGCCCUCACCUGCUGUGCCAAAGCUCAGUGCUCUCAAGUCUCGGAAGAAUGUCGAGAGUUUCCUAGAAGCCUGUCGGAAAAUGGGUGUGCCUGAGGCUGACCUGUGCUCGCCCUCGGAUCUCCUCCGGGGCACCGCCCAGGGGCUGCAGACCGUCCUGGAGGCUGUGAUCCUGGUUGGGGGCAAGGCCCCUCUCCCAGUCCAGCCCUCCUCUGGUCUGGGUGGCUUCCUCCUCUUCUACGUGGUCUUCAUGCUGCUGCUCUAUGUCGUCUACACUCGGCUCCUGGGCUCCUAGGACCCACGUUGCCCCUUCCUUCCCCACCUUCUAUUUAUAAGACCUCCUGUUCAACCGGUGGUGCCUUCAGCCCUACCAAAGACACUAGUGUCCCCUCACCAACGCUGACCUCAGAAGCCCCACUCUCAUACCCACAAUACCCUUACCCUUAGUGCUGAUGGUGCCUUCGUGUUCUCCCGGCCAGCCCUCUGUCCCCCGUCGGAUGACAGGACUGUGGCUUUUCUCUUCUGUCCUCCCUCCCCCUACCAGCUGCUAUGGGGGAGCUAAAUUAUCUCUGUUUUGUAGAGAGAACUAUUAGCAGGGGAUGUGAGCCCAGUAUGGGCCCCUGGCUCUGUGUAUAAACUGUAUAGAUUGUCACCUCUGUGUGUGCGUGUGUGAGCUCCUGCUGCAGCCAGGUCUUGUCCUGCCUGGGCUACCUGCCUGUGCAAGCCUUUCCCUUUGGAAAUGACAGGCCUCUCCUGUCCCAGUCCCCUGUGUUAACCACCCGUCUGUUACCUGCUGGCAGCUUCUAUGUGUCAUUUGUCCCCAGGUAUGGGGCAGUGUCUACCAGGAGUUCCCACCCUCUUAACCUUGCUGGGGGAAUUCGAGGGGGAAACCUAACCUGGGCCCCUCCCCCCAGGAGUCCCUGUGCCAGCCCCACCACAUCCUGGAAGAGGAAGGGGCCCCUGGAAGGGGCCUCCCUCACAUCGCUGCUGUCCUUCACGCACUUCUGGAACAGCCUUAGGGGUAGAGGUUGGGGGCUCUGGGCCCCAACUACCAUCGGACCUGUCCUGGGAGCAGAUGACACCUGGGCCCAGCCAAUUAACAAGGACUUGGUGACCAUGGUCUUGUGUGUAGCACUGGCCUUGGAUAUCCCCCUGCCCUUAGGCUGCUUCGGGUACAGCCCCCAUCUGGGUGAAGAGCGUUGUGUCAAACACAAUAAAAAGAAGCCCAAAGGCCUGUAGGUUGGUCCUCAGGUGUGUGCCUGCCUGUCCAUGAAUGCGCGAGCUUUUUGGGGACCUGAGUCCUCUACUGUGAGUCCCAGUGUAGACUGCUAUAUUUCUGUGCCUGGCAGAGGAGCUUUACCGGCACAAGUGCCCCGUGCCUCUGCCGCCAGGGGGAGCCCUUGAGAACCUGGUGGGAGCGUGCCACGUGGCUGAAGAAACGCUGGCGCAGGCGUCGUGGCGACACCUCUGAGGUGGGCUAGGACUUGGGCGCUCAUGUAGUCAGGGCCGCGCGCAAGUGCAAGCACGGCGGUGGGUAUUGCCUGGUGCUUCACCAGUCGCAGGAUGUUGCCUUGGCUUGGGCCAUGGGCCACAGGCCAGGAGGAGGCGACCGAGGGGCUAGGCCUCCCCACCGGCACUGGUCACGGAGAGGCCUUGAGCUCUGGAGAGGAAACCAUGAAGGAGCAAGAAACGCCUGUGCAGGACAGGUGAGGGCUUGGUGGGGGCCACUAGGAGGCGUUGUGGGCGCUUUCCAAAACUGAAAAUCUACGAGAUCGGGACUGGGAAAUGGGUAUAUUGUUGGUCCUGCGACUAACUCAGGUCAGCAUUAGGAAGGGAGGUGAGUGGGGAAGCCUGCCCUUCCCUUCACACAGCUCACAGCCCCAGGCCCUCAGCCCAUCUGAGCCAGGAAGAAAGCAGCUGCCGCCUUCCAGGCACCUGGCUACUGAGCCGACUGCAGAAGCCCCAGUACGUCUUUCUCCCCGGGUGACCUCCCAGGUCACCCCCUCAAGGAUGUCUCCACUGCCACUUCGGGAUCCCAGCCACCAGGCUAAUGCAGGACCUCGGCUGGUGGAGCCCAGCUGUGGGCCAGGGGUAUCUUUGUCUAACAGGACACUGUGCCAUCCUUCCUGGCCGAUGUAUGAUAACUGGGGCAGGAGCCCAACCACCUCAGAACGCCCAGAGGAAGAGCAGGUGGUGUCUAAGGAUACAGGGGUCCCGGUGAGAAACUAUGAAGAUGUCUUUCUCUUGGAUCCUCUGCUACCAUGUGGGCAGCGUGUUCCCCUAAUCCUGACCAAGCCCCCUCAGCAGGCAAUGGACUCCAGGAAGCUGCUGCUCCCACCGCCCAUCAUGUCGCCCUCUGUGCAUCCGUCCUCAUCCCAGGCCUGCUCCUCCACCUGGCUCAGCGAGGCAGAGAUGAUCGCCCUUGCUGGUCUGCUGCAGAUGAGCCAGGGAGAGCAGACACCCAACUGCGUGGCAAGCUCUCUGCCUUCCACCAGCUGCCCAGACCCUGUCUCUGUCUCUGAAGACCCAGGUCCCAGUGGUGACCAGAGCUGUUCUGGGACUGACACAUGAACCACAUAGUACCCCAAUAACCACAGUCCAUAGUGUACCCUGCCCCCCACUCCUCCACGGGUGCUUUCUUCUCCCCCAAGCUGUUUUGUUGACAAUAAAUCAGAGUUUGC